AAUCAACGCUGGCGGCGUGCCUCAGACAUGCAAGUCGAACGAUUAAAGCUCUCUUCGGAGAGUGUAUAGAGUGGCGCACGGGUGAGUAACACGUAAGUAAUCUACCUUUGAGUGGGGAAUAACAGUCGGAAACGAUUGCUAAUACCGCAUAAUGCAGCGGCAUCGCAAGAUGACAGUUGUUAAAGGAGCAAUCCGCUUAAAGAGGAGCUUGCGGCAGAUUAGCUUGUUGGUAAGGUAACGGCUUACCAAGGCUACGAUCUGUAUCCGGUCUAAGAGGACGGUCGGACACACUGACACUGAAUAACGGGUCAGACUCCUACGGGAGGCUGCAGUCGGGAAUUUUGGGCAAUGGGCGAAAGCCUGACCCAGCAACGCCGCGUGAAGGAUGAAGUUUUCGGAAU
rnacentral:rRNA from 1 species